UACGUAGGGUGCAAGCGUUAAUCGGAAUUACUGGGCGUAAAGCGUGCGCAGGCGGUUGUGCAAGACAGGUGUGAAAUCCCCGGGCUUAACCUGGGAACUGCACUUGUGACUGCACGGCUGGAGUACGGCAGAGGGGGAUGGAAUUCCACGUGUAGCAGUGAAAUGCGUAGAGAUGUGGAGGAACACCGAUGGCGAAGGCAGCCCCCUGGGCUAACACUGACGCUCAGGCACGAAAGCGUGGGGAGCAAACAGG
rnacentral:rRNA from 1 species